rnacentral:rRNA from 1 species
UACGGAGGGUGCAAGCGUUAUCCGGAAUCACUGGGUUUAAAGGGUGCGUAGGCGGCUGUAUAAGUCAGAGGUGAAAGGCUACAGCUUAACUGUGGAAUUGCCUUUGAUACUGUAUAGCUUGAAUAAGGAUGAGGUUGGCGGAAUGUGGCAUGUAGCGGUGAAAUGCAUAGAUAUGCCAUAGAACACCAAUUGCGAAGGCAGCUAACUGGGCCUUUAUUGACGCUGAGGCACGAAAGCGUGGGGAUCAAACAGG